rnacentral:rRNA from 1 species
GACAGAGGGGGCAAGCGUUGCUCGGAAUUACUGGGCGUAAAGGGCGCGUAGGCGGGAUGGCAAGUCGGUCGUGAAAUCCUUCGGCUCAACCGAAGAACGUCGAUCGAUACUGCUGUUCUUGAGGGUUGCAGAGGAGACUGGAAUUCCCGGUGUAGCGGUGAAAUGUGUAGAGAUCGGGAGGAACACCGGUGGCGAAGGCGGGUCUCUGGGCAAUUCCUGACGCUCAUGCACGAAAGCGUGGGGAGCAAACAGG